UACGUAGGUGACAAGCGUUGUCCGGAUUUACUGGGCGUAAAGAGCGCGCAGGCGGUCGUUCAAGUCGAGUGUGAAAGCCCCCGGCUCAACUGGGGAGGGUCACUCGAUACUGAUCGACUUGAAGGCAGGAGAGGGAAGCGGAAUUCCCGGUGUAGUGGUGAAAUGCGUAUAUAUCGGGAGGAACACCAGUGGCGAAGGCGGCUUCCUGGCCUGCUCUUGACGCUGAGGCGCGAAAGCUAGGGUAGCAAACGGG
rnacentral:rRNA from 1 species